ACCACCUUAGUAUGAAAGACAUGUUGGUAGGUCAUCUAAGAAGAGAAGACAAAAUCCUGUUGAGAUGGAAGAAGGGGCAAAGAUGAGCAGACAUGGCACUAUAUCCCAUUGCAGUGUGUGCAACUCAACAGAUAACAACAAAAGAAAGUGCCCAAAUAAAGGUCAACAAGGGCAAUCACUCAGUGUUGAUAUGAGACCACAAACACAAGGAGGACAGAAGAGGAAGCUACAAGUGAAGAGAAACAUUCUUACAUAGGUACAACAACAUUUUGUUUCUCUAUUUAGUAGUUAGCUCAUUUCAUUCUUGCAACUAUUGCUCAUACUCUAUUUAUAGGAAUCUGGUACAACAAGUGUUGGACAUAGGAAGCAACGCACUCAAACUACCGUGCUUGAAACACUCCUUCUUCAAGCUCAAGCAUCGCAGCAAUCCCAUGUGUCACCAGGCCCUAUUCCAGAAUCCGCCUUCAUUGCUCGCAACAGAGAUGCUUUGCAGCCCACUACAGCUACCACAUCCACUGUUGGCUUAAAGAAGAAGCAAAAGAAGAGGGUUACAAAGGCCAGUAUCACUGAAUAUAAGUGAACAUGUUCUCACUUUGGACAGAGAGCUUUUUGGACAGACAACAGCUCUAUUUUGGGUAGUAUUUAGAUGAUGCCAGCUAGGUGUUGAAGUAAACCUCAUGCAUGUGUUGCUGUGGGUUUAUCUGCACCUUCAUAUGUGCAUUUUGAGGUUCUCAUGUAAUAGAAACCUAAAUUACUAGCUUUUAUUUCGAGCGCCAUGUAAUUCACUAUUAGUUAUAUGUACCCAAUGCACUUCGUAUUAUUGUUGUGAAUGUGGCCAAUGCUAUCAGUUGUGUCAAUGUUUCAGAUGA